UGACGUCAUGAGGUACACAGGUAGCCGUGACGUUUACACGCUCGGGGUGAUUUUUCCGUCUGCGGGCGGGAAGCUCCGUUGACUAAUCGCGCUUUCUGGCCUCCAGAUCAUGUCGAUCUGCUCUUUUCGUGGAAUCUAAGCCGAGGACAGUAGGAGAGGAACCCGCCCUAUCCACAGAGCGCCGCGGUUUUGCGUCGAGGAGUCGGGAGCGCUCGUGGUCGGCGCCCAAGUUGGGGAGUUGUUCGCCAUGGGGGAUGCCGAGCGGAACAUGGGGCCUGGGAUGUUACUCGUGUCUGCUAAUGUGGGCUCCAUAUUUGAAGAUCCGGAUAACAUGCUACCGGUGUGGUUGACGGAAUUCCUUUCGGUAGGGGGCGAGAGCUUUUAAUUUCCUGCCUUCUCCAAUCAUGUGAUUGUUUUGUGCUAUUCAUGUGUAAAUUUACAAAGCUGUUAAUUGUUAUACAUAUGAUGUAUACUGUACUUUAUUUUUCCCAAUAUUAUAUGGUAUUAGACAUAAUAAACACAUGUAGGUGGACCUUUGUAUUGAUAUUAGUAUUGUUCACUUUUGCCAUUAAGGAAUUGGCUAUACCAAAUCAACUUUUCUCUCAUGUUUGAUAUGUGCCCGGGGUGCUAUCAAAGUGGGAUUAACAAAAUGUUGUCAACCCCUUUCUGU